rnacentral:lncRNA from 1 species
UAUAAACCCUAGUUAUCACACACAAAAAAUUAGAAUUUUUUCGAAGAUAUGCAUUUUCAUCAUCCAACUUGAAAGACUGUCGUCAAGUACUUUCAGUAAAAAAAAUAGCUAUUCGAACACACCUUCUCUGUUUUUGUGAUUCAUUAGGUAGGUAUUUCACUUGACCCAUAUAUUUCAUCUUUUAGUACUGUGAUUUUUUUUGUGUUAUAAAGUCAACCUGUAGCUUUGAUAUAUAAAAUUGAUAGAAUCUGAAGCGAGACGAUGUAUGAAAUAUUCUUGCUUUGUACGAUAUCAAGACAAAAUACUCAACUCAAACACGCCUAACAUAAAAAGGUGCACUCGAUUUUCUCUUUUCGAUACAAUUGUUACCCAUUUUUUUGGAAUUUUUUCUUGAGUCACAUAAUGGAAGGGCAGACACG